rnacentral:rRNA from 1 species
UAGUCUGGUGCCAGCAGCCGCGGUAAUUCCAGCUCCAAUAGCGUAUAUUAAAGUUGUUGCAGUUAAAACGCUCGUAGUCGGAUUUCGGGGCGGGUCCGCCGGUCUGCCGAUGGGUAUGCACUGGCGGGCGCGUCCUUCCUUCCGGAGACUGGCCCUACUCUUAACUGAGCGGGGUCGGGAGUCGGAUCGUUUACUUUGAAAAAAUCAGAGUGUUUCAAGCAGGCAGCUCGCUCUUGCAUGGAUUAGCAUGGGAUAAUGAAAUAGGACUUUGGUGCUAUUUUGUUGGUUUCGAACACCGAAGUAAUGAUUAACAGGGACAGUCAGGGGCACUCGUAUUCCGCCGAGAGAGGUGAAAUUCUCAGACCAGCGGAAGACGAACCACUGCGAAAGCAUUUGCCAGGGAUGUUUUCACUGAUCAAGAACGAAAGUUAGGGGAUCGAAGACGAUCAGAUACCGUCGUAGUCUUAACCAUAAACCAUGCCGACUAGGGAUUGGGGGAAGUCCUUCUUUGACUCCCUCAGCACCUUAAGGGAAACUAUAGUUUUUGGGUUCCGGGGGGAGUAUGGUCGCAAGGCUGAAACUUAAAGGAAUUGACGGAAGGGCACCACCAGGAGUGGAGCCUGCGGCUUAAUUUGACUCAACACGGGGAAACUUACCAGGUCCAGACAUUGGAAGGAUUGACAGAUUGAGAGCUCUUUCUUGAUUCGAUGGGUGGUGGUGCAUGGCCGUUCUU